rnacentral:rRNA from 1 species
UACGUAGGGCGCAAGCGUUAUCCGGAAUUACUGGGCGUAAAGCGUGCGCAGGCGGUUUUGUAAGUUUGUCGUGAAAUCCCCGGGCUUAACCUGGGAAUUGCGAUGAAGACUGCAAGGCUAGAAUCUGGCAGAGGGGGGUAGAAUUCCACGUGUAGCAGUGAAAUGCGUAGAGAUGUGGAGGAACACCGAUGGCGAAGGCAGCCCCCUGGGUCAAGAUUGACGCUCAUGCACGAAAGCGUGGGGAGCAAACAGG